rnacentral:rRNA from 1 species
CGGAGGGAGCUAGCGUUGUUCGGAAUUACUGGGCGUAAAGCGUACGUAGGCGGUUAUUCAAGUCAGAGGUGAAAGCCCGGGGCUCAACCCCGGAACUGCCUUUGAAACUAGAUAGCUAGAAUCUUGGAGAGGUCAGUGGAAUUCCGAGUGUAGAGGUGAAAUUCGUAGAUAUUCGGAAGAACACCAGUGGCGAAGGCGACUGACUGGACAAGUAUUGACGCUGAGGUACGAAAGCGUGGGGAGCAAACAGGAUUAGAUACCCUGGUAGUCCACGCCGUAAACGAUGAUAACUAGCUGUCCGGGCACUUGGUGCUUGGGUGGCGCAGCUAACGCAUUAAGUUAUCCGCCUGGGGAGUACGGUCGCAAGAUUA